rnacentral:rRNA from 1 species
UACGUAGGUGGCAAGCGUUGUCCGGAAUUAUUGGGCGUAAAGCGCGCGCAGGCGGUCCUUUAAGUCUGAUGUGAGAGCCCACGGCUCAACCGUGGAGGGUCAUUGGAAACUGGGGGACUUGAGUGCAGGAGAGAAGAGUGGAAUUCCAGGUGUAGCGGUGAAAUGCGUAGAUAUCUGGAGGAACACCGGUGGCGAAGGCGGCGUCCUGGACCAACACUGACACUGAGGAGCGAAAGCCAGGGGAGCAAACGGG